UUGGAGGGCAAGUCUGGUGCCAGCAGCCGCGGUAAUUCCAGCUCCAAUAGCGUAUAUUAAAGUUGUUGCAGUUAAAAAGCUCGUAGUUGAAUUUCGGGAUCAAUUUGUCGGUCGUGCCUCGGUACGUACUGGCAUUAUUGGUUUCUACCUUCUGAAGAACCUUGAUGUCAUUAAUUUGGUGUCUUGGGGAAUCAGGACUGUUACUUUGAAAAAAUUAGAGUGUUUAAGGCAGGCAUACGCUUGAAUACAUUAGCAUGGAAUAAUGAAAUAGGACGUUUGAUUCUAUUUUGUUGGUUUCUAGGAUCGACGUAAUGAUUAAUAGGGAUAGUUGGGGGCAUUAGUAUUCAAUUGUCAGAGGUGAAAUUCUUGGAUUUAUUGAAGACUAACUACUGCGAAAGCAUUUGCCAAGGAUGUUUUCAUUAAUCAAGAACGAAAGUUAGGGGAUCGAAGACGAUCAGAUACCGUCGUAGUCUUAACCAUAAACUAUGCCGACUAGGGAUCGGAUGAUGUUAUUUUUAAUGACUCAUUCGGCGCCUUACGGGAAACCAAAGUGUUUGGGUUC
rnacentral:rRNA from 1 species